rnacentral:rRNA from 1 species
CUUCGGGUAUUGAGGAUGGCGGACGGGUGAGUAACGCGUAAGGAACUUGCCUCUUGGUCUGGGACAACUGUUGGAAACGACAGCUAAUACCGGAUAUUAUGAGAUUCUCGCAUGAGAAACUUAUGAAAGCUAUAUGCGCCAAGAGAGAGCCUUGCGUUCCAUUAGCUAGUUGGUGGGGUAACGGCCCACCAAGGCGACGAUGGAUAGCCGGCCUGAGAGGGUGAACGGCCACAAGGGGACUGAGACACGGCCCUUACUCCUACGGGAGGCAGCAGUGGGGAAUAUUGGACAAUGGACCAAAAGUCUGAUCCAGCAAUUCUGUGUGCACGAUGAAGGUCUUCGGAUUGUAAAGUGCUUUCAGUUGGGAAGAAGCAAGUGACGGUACCAACAGAAGAAGCGACGGCUAAAUACGUGCCAGCAGCCGCGGUAAUACGUAUGUCGCAAGCGUUAUCCGGAUUUAUUGGGCGUAAAGCGCGUCUAGGCGGAAAAAUAAGUCUGAUGUUAAAAUGCGGGGCUCAACUCCGUAUUGCGUUGGAAACUGUUUUUCUAGAGUACUGGAGAGGUGGGCGGAACUACAAGUGUAGAGGUGAAAUUCGUAGAUAUUUGUAGGAAUGCCGAUGGAGAAGUCAGCUCACUGGACAGAUACUGACGCUAAAGCGCGAAAGCGUG